CGACAAUUGCGCUCUGAUGCUGUUCCAACCAUAGACUCUGUAAAAGGCAUUUCAAUCCAAGGUGAUAAGAGCAAUCGCGACCGUAGAGUUGUGUUGCGUGAAGUGACACGAAGUGUAAAAGAUGUUGAACCCGCUGUUAAACAUACUGAUGAUGAAGGGAAUUCUGACGAGUGUAACACGACAGAAUGUCUCGAAGGUUUUGAUUAAACAUUAAAUGGUUGGCAUCCAAAGAUGACCCACUUUUCUUGGCUUGGUACAUAUUGCAGGCACGUACUGGCAGUACUUCAUUUCAAUGAAAGCCUUCACAGACAGCCAAAAAAAACAAAAAAUGGAACACCAUAUUAUUCUGUGACAUACCCAAAAUUUAAAUCAGGGGAUGAAGUAGUAAGAACUGUUUCUUCAGCACCAUCAUAUUUUGUGAGGAAUCCAUGGACAACAUAUUUAAGAAGUAUA